AAAAUUUCCUGGGAAGGGGAUACCGGAUCACGAAAGCGGUUUUUUCCCGGGGGAGGCCCCCACCAUUUCACCCGGGGGUGCUUUACCCCGGAUUAACCCAAAAAGUGGUUAAACCCUGCGAAAUUUUUUGUUAGCGGGGGCUGCGUUCGCGCUAUCCCCCC